GUUCAGGACAAUGAACAUCAGUGACAAUUUGAGUCUGAGCGGGCAAACAUGACACCUGGAGAUGCUUCCUAGCACUACUCCAGACAAUAUAUAAAACCUGAAAUAGCUGAAGCAAUGCUGCAUUUGCGACCUUGGCCACCGAAGCACACCCAUUAAAGAAGAUGGGGAAUGUUAAAAGAUAAUCAUUUGGGAGGAAAACAGUGGAUGUGAAACCAGGACAUGGGUAUUUACUUAGUUUAUUGUUGAAUUACUUCAGUUCAGAGGAGGUUUGGAAAGAAUGUGGAAGCAUCUGGCACAGAGAGAGUAAAACAUGAUGGAGAGACAUCCCGGCUCCAGGUCAUAUUCCAGGAGAGAGAAUGUGGUUUAUGCUCUUAAGAGGCAGUGGUUGCAUUGAGUUAUCCAUUUAUCGUUUAAUGAAACUACUUAUUUGAAGAAAGUUAAGCAUGUGCGAGGUUGCACCUACGUGAAAGCAGAAGAUCUCCAAUUGUCAGAAGUUCCAGUCCCUGUACUUAUUUUAGAUGAUGCAAAGCCAAGUAAAAAUGGACUUAUCGGUAUGAAAAAUGCCCGGAGACACUGAACCUGAGGAAGGGAAUACAUAACUACAGCAUGUAUUGCAGGACCUAGGCUCCUGCAAAGCUUCCUUAGUAUCAGUAACAUAAAGAUAAAAGGUGGGGAAAAUGU